rnacentral:lncRNA from 1 species
AGCCGGAUCCCAGACAAGCUUCUACCAUGGGGCAGGAUCCACCAGCCAGGUCGUUACUCCGAGCUCCCACGAUAACCGAUCCUUGAUCGAGCUCUUACAAUAAGCGGCCUCCUUUCGGCCUCCCAUAAGAACCGGACUCUGUCCGAACUUUCACAGUGGAUGGAUUCCGGACGAGCUUCUGCAAGAACCAGACUCCGUCCGAACUUCCACAAUGGAUGAAUUACGGAUGAGUUUUUGCAAC